CGUCUAUGUCUCCCCUUACUAAAUACAGGGAGCCCCCAAAUCGCCAUCCCCAUUUGGCUUUCUGCUCUCUUUCCUUUCAUAGGUUUCUCACGGGGCCACUUGAGAAGAUCUGUAGGUACCCCUGCCUCUGUUCAGAAAUACCUUAUCCACAGCCCAGGGCUAUUGCAAAUAGGUGGAUUUUCUGUCCUGCUGUGACGAAUGCCAUAGGAAGGUCAGGAAACUGAAUUGAAGAUUAGGAAGUGACUUGCCCAAGGAGAUUAUCUAGCAUGUCUAAUAGAGCAACAAGUCACGUCCCGCGGCUCCAGGCCUGCAAUUCCCUAGCAUACCAAUCUCAACCGCAAGACUUUCCCUCCGACCUCACCCAAGUCAAGGGUGGAGGUGGGGCUGCUCUCUGCCCCCUGGGGAGGAGGGAUCUAUGACCAAGUGGGUAAUGUUCUGUCUUGAUUUCUCCAGGUUUCCCCAGAGAGGUAGCAUUCCUGGAUGAUGGGGUACAGAGAGCUCUGAGAUUAGCUUUCAAUGAAGCAUUGCAAAGUUAGAUUUAGGGUAGAAUUAUCUACCCAAGAGUUGCUGGAAUAUUGGUAAAAUAUCACUUCUUGCUAUUUCAUUCAUUCACCUGGGAUAGGAAAGACAUCUCUUGGGGCUGAUUUAGGUCAGUGGGUCCAACCUUUUUUAGUAUGGAGAGCAUAUUUUAAUCUCAAAAGAACUGCAGAUAAAGAUACACUUUAAGAACGCGUUGGUAGAACAAAUACUUAAUAACAGAACCUAUCACCUUUAAGGGAGUUUGAAUGCUAUUAAUCACUGCCUUAUCUAUGUGCAUGCAUGCUAAGUCACUUCACUCAUGUCCAGCUCUUUGUGACCCUAUGAACUGUAACCUGCCAGGCUCCUCUGUCCAUGGGAUUUUUCAGUCAAGAAGAUUGGAGUGGGUUGCCAUGCACUCCUCCAGGGGAUCUUCUUGACCCAGGGAUUGAAUCCACUUUUCUUAAGUCUCCUGCAUUGGCAGGCAGGUUCUUUACCGCUAGCGCCAUCUAUAUAUGAUCCCAAAUCUGAGUUAUUGCUUUCUUUCUGCGUUUCUGUAACUCUCUGUCUUCACCACUGGCCUGAGCAUGCCAAAGGCCAUAGUUGAUUUGCCCCUUGUUCACUAUCUACUGUAUACUCAGCAUCUGGCACGGUUCCUGACACAAAGUAUGCACAUUAUGUAUAUUUGUAGAAUGAAUAAAUGAAUAGUAAUAUCAGGAUAGUUUGACUAAAUAGCAUGAUUCAUGUACAACUAUAGGUGCUGAUUCACACAAAGAUAGUGUCCCCAUGGGGUCCUAGGGCUCACAGAUUGGAAAUCAUGGAUUUAAAUUUCUAUCCUUGGGUCCAGUAUGUUCUCCAUUUUCCCCUGAGGGAGCUUAGUGUUCAGUAGGCCACAAUGAUUGGUCUGUGGGUUUAGAGACACACGAUAACUAAAAGUGGGGGCAGUUGACAUUCCAAAGGCCACACGAAAAGUCCACGAAGAGGAUAGAACGCAGAGCUUAAUCAAGGCUGGGACUUCCCAACACCCACGGAAACCGGGAGGCUGAUGAGCUGCCUUCAAGAGCCAGUUUCUAACAUUUGUAGGAACAAAAAGUAAGCUAAUCUCUGGGAACCUCUAGGCUGUGUAGUUGUUAUUUUAAACCCAAACAGGCUUGCAAAGGUAUCUUGCCUGUUUCCUCUGUCAACCUAUUUGUGUGGAGUGCUGAUCACUGAAAUGACACACAGUAAAUGCUCUUUGUCCUGUAAGACAUUGGCUGGGAGUGGAGGUGACUAUGGAGUUAAAAGAAAGAAAGAUUGAUUUAAAAGAUGGGAAUGUGUCCCUCUGCAUGCAGGGUGUGUAUUAAUAUUUAAAUGCUGAUGUCUUUCUUCUUUCUCAAGACAACGGGGCUUCUUCUCUGGAUUCUCCUGGUCCCUUCCUCACCAAACAAAGAAAGGGAGGUAUUCCAGGUGUGAACACAUCAGG